AGCAGCCGCGGUAAUUCCAGCUCCAAUAGCGUAUAUUAAAGUUGUUGCAGUUAAAAAGCUCGUAGUUGAAUUUCGGGAUUUGUCAGUUGGUCGGGCUUAACUGUCCGUAUUGACUCGAUGGAUUCUUACCUUCUGAAUAACCAGCAUGCUAUUAAGUUAGUGCGUUGGGGAAGCAGAUCUAUUACCUUGAAAAAAUUAGAGUGCUUAAAGCGAGCUAGUGCUUGAAUAGAUUAGCAUGGAAUAAUAAAAUAGGACGGCAUGGUUCUAUUUUGUUGGUUUCUAGGAUCACCGUAAUGAUUAAUAGGGAUAGUUGGGGGCAUUAGUAUUCAAUUGUCAGAGGUGAAAUUCUUGGAUUUAUUGAAGACUAACUACUGCGAAAGCAUUUGCCAAGGAUGUUUUCAUUAAUCAAGAACGAAAGUUAGGGGAUCGAAGACGAUCAGAUACCGUCGUAGUCUUAACCAUAAACUAUGCCGACUAGGGAUCGGAUGAUGUUAAUUUUUAUAAUGACUCG
rnacentral:rRNA from 1 species